rnacentral:misc_RNA from 1 species
AAGACUAUAGACCUGCGGAGUACCUGCGGAAGGAUCAUUAUCGAGUGUGACCCUCCUGUAAAAAAGGGGGUACCUCCCGUCCUUUUGCUAGGCCCUCCCCCUCCAAAAAUUUUUUUGACAGGGGGAAGCUUUUUCAAACCUUCUGCUUCGGUGGGUUUUAAACCCCGCCGGAACAACCUCAAAAAUUCUUUAUAAUUGUUCUGUCCGAGAAAAAUUUUAUUAAAAAUGAAAAAACUUUUA